rnacentral:lncRNA from 1 species
UGCCCCUCUGGCUGUUUGGAUUUAUAAGAGUCUCCGCUACGAGUACAGUUUCAACUUGCGUGCUUAACGUGGGCGAAAUGCAACAAAGUAGCGUCCGUCAGUGUUAUCACUCGCUGACACAUAUCUACAGCAUCCGAUAUUGAUAUCAACACCUAUCGUCUCCACGGGGUUUAAAGCGACUCAAGGCAACGAGAUUAGCACCAAAUCGAAGUUCCUCGCAUCUCUCUUACUCCCUCCAGCGAUCGAGCAACAAUGGCUUCGUCCGGCUCCAGCAAUCUCCCGACGAAGGAAGUCCCAGGAUCAUACGGCCUGCCAGUCGUGGGUGCUCAAAAGGACAACUUGGACUUCCUCCACCUCCAAGGCGAGGUGGAGUUUUUCAAGAGCAGGGUGGCCAGGUACAAUAGCACCGUCUUCAAAGUUAACUUCAUCCCGGGAAAUCCAGCCUUCCCGGAUCCUCGCGGCAUCGCCCUCCUGGACCAGAGCUCCUUCCCGGUCCUGCUCGACAGCUCCAAGGUGGACAAGACCAACGUGUUCACGGGCUCCUACAAGGCAUCCGACGAUUUCACGGGAGGAUACCGGGUGCUGUCCUACCUCGACACCACCGAUCCCAAGCACGCAACGCUCAAGAACUUCGCCUUCGAGGUGCUCAAGCGAAAUGGCCGCAAGUUCCUGCCUGAGUUCCAGUCGGCCUCCCACGCCGCGUUCGAUGCCGCCGAGUCGGAGCUCUCGUCCGGGAAGAACAAGGCCGACAUGGCACCGCUGCUCAACCAGCUCGCCUUCCAGUUCCUGGCCAAGUCCAUCGUCAACGUGGAUCCGUUGACCACCAAGCUCGCUGACCAGGGCCCGACUCACCUCCUCCGUUGGCGGGAUCCAGUUCGCGCCGGUAGCGCCUGGCAAUAGCACUCCACUGCCCGGAUUCGCCGAGGACGUCGUCAUACGUACCGCGCCACUGCCAUUCCUGCUCGUCAAGGCCGACUACGACAAGCUCUGCGAGUUCUUCCAGCUCGCCACUGAGAUGCUCGACAUGGGCGAGAAGGAGUUUGGGCUGUCGCGAGAGGAGGCCGUGCACCAGCUGCUCUUCCUCGUCGGGAUGAACAGCUGGUUUGGAUUCAGCGCCAGAGUGCUGCCCAAUCUUCUCUACCGUGUUGGAACUCUCGGGGCCGAGUUCCAGAAGAGGCUCGGGGAUGAGAUCCGUGCUGCGAUCGACGUGAGCGAUCCGGCGGGGUCGUUCUACGGCGCACUGGAGAAAAUGCCACUGCUCAAGUCGACUGUGCUGGAGGUCUUCCGGUUUGAUCCGCCCGUGCUCUACCAGUACGGACGCCCCCGGGAGGAUAUGGUGGUGGAGUCACACGAUGCGAAGUUUGUGAUCAAGAAGGGACAGCUCUUGGGUGGGUCGCAGGCACUGGUUUGCCGAGAUCCAAAGGUGUUUGAGGAGCCGGAUCAGUUGAUCCCGGACAGGUUUGUGGGGAAGGAGGAGCUCCAGGCGAAUGUGUUUUGGUCCAAUGGAAGGAAUACGAAGUCACCGACCGCGGAUGACAAGCAGUGUGCUGGGAAGAAUUUUGUGGAGACAAUCGCCAGGUUCUACCUGGUGCAGUUGUUUGCGAGAUACAAGACUUUUGAGCUGAGUGAGGACUCCACACUCAACACUCCGUUUCUCAAGUCAUUUGCACGAAAUUAGUGUAAGAACUAGCUAAAUAUAUAAAGUGUCGCAGAGGGAUCGCGCUGGAGAGUUCGCAGCGAUCGAGCGCACAGAUGCUGCUUGGUUUUCAGCAAAAUCUCGGUACAGCUUUUCCUUGUAAAACUGUUUUAGUUGUGUUCUGAUGAGUGUUUUAGAAAUGCUCCGCAGGCCACAAUUUGGUAUGUUUUAAAUGUUUAACUUCAAAAUUUAGAAUUUAAGAAGUGUAUUCAUUAAAAUACAAUAUUACAAUAAAAAAAUAAUUUUAUGGCUCAAUGCCACAAGUAAAGAUGUGCUAAAAGACUAUAACCACAUGUUUCUCAAAAGUUAAUUCGUAUUUUUUCUUACUUUAUUUUUAAUUUAUUUAAAUUUAUUAUAAUAAUGGAAUGUAAAUAAAUUUAUUUUAAUAUAUUUAAAAUAAUAAUUCUUUAAAAGUAUUUUAUAAAGUAAUUAAUAUGAAAAUUUUUAAAUUAAUAUUUUAAAAUUGCUGGAAAGUAAAGUUAUAAUCAUAUUAUUGAUUAUAAAUUAUAAAAAUAUUAUUAAAAAGCUCAGAGUAAUCACAAAAACUUAUAAAAUAUCCUAUCGAUAUCUCAACCCAAAAGAUUAAUCUAGAGUAAACCAUAGAAAAUAUGUGGUAAUGUGAAAAGCCAAAAUCCAUAAAAAAGAAUAAUUAACCAUCGUGAAUUUUAACAUGAGAUCAACACUAUUAUGUUCUAAAAACCAAUCUAAUAUGUUUCUUGAGAUUUUAGAUUCCGAGUUCUCUAAGCUGUUUUGACGACUCGCGUGCCGUCGGCUUUGACUCGGUCAGGUCAAUAUUGUUCAUUGUAUUGACGAGACUAAACCGUGGAUUAGACUGAAUGGGGGGCGAACUCUCCGGUCGAAGCUGCGGCAUUGCUCUUCCAGCAAAUGAGGAUCUCUCUUUCAGUCCGUGAUCAACAGGUGGGCGAAGAAUGAGUAACGCUGCAAGCUACUCCGUCUUUUGGAAUUGUCUACGGCGUAUACUGCGACCGGAACACCAUGCCAAGUGGUGGUACUCAACCGUUCACAUCGUGACGGCCAUGGUAGGAGCCGGAGUUCUGAGCCUUCCGUCGACAAUGGUCUACCUGGGAUGGUAAAUUCUUCGGGAAAAUUCAUGGACAUGAGCGACUAACUUAGUAUCUCCACAGGGCUCCUGGAAUGAUGAUGCUGGGCGUUUCGUGGAUAAUCACACUGGCUACCAUGUACCAAAUGAUUGAGAUGCACGAGGACGAGUCAGGGAGACACGACACUUACCAGUGUCUCGGCCGGAAAGCAUUCGGGGACAGGCUUGGCAAUCUCAUUGUUGGCUCGCAGCAGAUCGUAGGUCAGGUGACCACCAACAUUGCUUACUUGGUAACUGGAGGCCAGGCGCUUAAAAGGUUCGGGGAUCUUGUUCUGAGUCGCGAGAUUCACUACGGGAAGUUUGAGCCUGCUGUGUUAUGGAUAUCCGCGUUUGCUGGAGUUCAAGCGGUGCUGUCGUUGUUUGCCAGUUUCUCGUCCAUGACAAUCGUCUCUCUGAUAGCCUCCAUCAUGUCUUUCAGGUAAAAUCCUGUUAUUUCUUUGUUUUAUAUUUUCUUGUUGUAGGAGAAUGUAAUUCACAUUUCACUCAGCUACUCAACUAUAGUUUGGGCAACAGCUAUCCGGCUUAAGAGUUCGCAAGCAUCGUAUGGCUACUGCAACUUGACAUACUACAAAGCCUUUAAUGCACUCGGAGAGAUUGCGUUUGCCUACGGAGGCCACAGCAUUGCUCUCGAGAUCCAAGCGACGAUGAGAUCGACGAGGCACAAGCCGUCUAAGCUACCAAUGUGGAAUGGAGUUUUGGUGGCCUAUGUCAUGGUUGCCGUUUGCUAUUUCCCAGUCGCUGGAGUUGGCUACUGGGCUCUCGGCAACUUGACUUGCUACGAAAACGUUCUGGACGUCCUCGACAAACCAAAGUGGCUGAUAGGAACAGCCAACUUGAUGCUUAUGCUGCACCUCACAGGGAGUUACCAGGUAAGCUAGGCUUCCAUUGGUUCCUCGUUCUUACGUGCUCCAUGCCAGGUUUUUGCUUUGCCGAUUUACGAGGGACUGGAGCAAAAGAAUAUGCCAAUCAAUGCUUUGAUUAGGCCUCUUUACGUAGGUAAGGGGGGGUUAUUCUUCUUGGUGAAUUUUCACAAGCUUGAGUUGCCAGGAUUUACGUGUUUGGUUGCGGUGAUCCUACCUUCGUUUUCCGGGCUUCUGGGAUUAUUCGGUGGGCUCGCUCUUGGACCAACAACGUAUUUCGUACGUAUCAGUGACUUAAAACUUUCCUUUCUUCUCUCUGACGUGUUUCCAGCAGUUGCCGUGUAUAAUGUGGCUAAGCAUCAAGAAGCCAAGAGUCCUUGGUCUUGAGUGGCUUUUAAAUUGGGUAAAAAUCUCAUCAUUUUAAGCUUUUGACAUGGUGGUGCGAACCAAUGCAGGCAUGCAUUUUGUUUGGCGUCGUCCUCACGAUUGUGUCGGCAAUUGGAAGCAUCGUAAAUCUCAAACACGGCUUCGAAGAGCAAAAUCUCAAAGUAUUCUACUUCCCGCGAUUGCAGCAGUGCAGCUCGACCUCAACAAACGCAAGCUGUCCCGUGCGGCAUUGAAUUCCCCUCGCUUGAUUCUCCAGGCUCCAGCUAGCGCUCUGCAAUGACAAGUAUUUCGACGAUAAUAUUUUCAUCAAGUACUUUGCAUGUGCCCCUCUGACUGUUUGGAUUUAGUAGAGUCUCCGCUACGAGUACAGUUUCAACUUGCGUGCUUAACGUGGGCGAAAUGCAACAAAGUAGCAUUCGUCAGUGUUAUCACUCGCUGACACAUAUCUACAGCACCAAUACGCCAUCCGAUAUUGAUAUCAAUACCUAUCGUCUCCAGGGGGUUUAAAAGCGACUCAAGGCAACGAGAUUAGCACCAAAACAAAGCUCCUUGCAUCUCUCUUACUCCCUCCAGAGAUCGAGCAACAAUGGCUUCAUCCGGCUCCAGCAAUCUCCCGACGAAGGAAGUCCCAGGAUCAUACGGCCUGCCAGUCCUGGGUGCUCAAAAGGACAACUUGGACUUCCUCCACCUCCAAGGCGAGGUGGAGUUUUUCAAGAGCAGGGUGGCCAAGUACAAUAGCACCGUCUUCAAAGUUAACUUCAUUCCGGGAAAUCCAGCCUUCCCGGAUCCUCGCGGCAUCGCCCUCCUGGACCAGAGCUCCUUCCCAGUCCUGCUCGACAGCUCCAAGGUGGACAAGACCAACGUGUUCACGGGCUCCUACAAGGCAUCCGACGAUUUCACGGGAGGAUACCGGGUGCUGUCCUACCUCGACACCACCGAUCCCAAGCACGCAACGCUCAAGAACUUCGCCUUCGAGGUGCUCAAGCGAAAUGGCCGCAAGUUCCUGCCUGAG